ensembl:misc_RNA Metazoa_SRP Metazoan signal recognition particle RNA
GCUGGGCACAGUAACAUGUGCCUGUAGUCCCAGCUACUCGGGAGGCUGAGGCUGGAGGAUCUCUUGAGUCUAGGAGUUUUGGGCUGUAGUGUGCUAUGCCGAUCAGGUGUCUGCACUAACUUCAGCAUCAAUAUGGUGACCUCCCGGGAGCGGGGGACCACCAGGUUGCCUAAGAAGGGGUGAACCGGCCCAGGUUGGAAGCAGAGCAGGUCAAAACUCCCGUGCUGAUCUGUAGUGGGAUCACACCUGUGAAUACCCACUGCACUCCAGCCUGGGCAACAUAGUGAGACCUUGUUUCU